AGGCUCUAGUCUACAGACGGGCUUCAUACACGCCUCCCAGACACCCGCGUGGCCUCCUAUUGUUGCUGAGGCUGCUUAACCGAGCCGAAGAGCUCCAGGCCCGGGCCAAGGCACAAUGCAGAGCAGGGGGGUAGCCUGGAUCUCUAGGCUGCUGUGGAGAGAGGAGAGAACGGGGAAACACUUAGCUAGAGCUCCCUUCUCCGAUUCGGAGUGCCUCUCUCAUCUCUAUCCCUCCACAAUGAAGACGAUAUUGCAGGAAAAUGACCUUUCUGAGAUGGAAAGAGGCCUGUAGGAAGUCGAACCUGAGUAUCCGAAACACUUUUAGAGCCUUGAGGGUUAGAUUUCUGGUUUUCUGAAGCUUGAUCCUGUCCUACACACUCUGACAAGGAUUUCUACACAGGUGAGUGGCACGUGCGCGCUAUUUUACUUGAAAAUAAACAACCAACAUUUUUGCUGUAGAAAAAAUACAACGUUAAAAUGUCUUAAUGUUUGCAGAAAGAAAUGUUUGGUCCCUAUUACUUUUCUUUUUUUUUCUUUUUUUUUUGGCCACGUUUAAGGGGACUCUAAAUACUAAAGUAAAAUUCCUUGGAAAAAUAUGGUGUUAUUUAUUUCCUCACGUACACAUACACCAAGUUGUCCGUUUGCCGUUUUGAACAGUUUCAGCUUUGGGUGCAAUCCAGCACACUUUAGUGAUUUUCCUACUAAAUCUGGUAAUGAACCAAAGAAUCAGGUUUGUUUGGGCAGCGAAAUCAACAAACUGUGAUAGAAAUACAACUUUCAGCCAGCUUUCAAGGAAGUUUUUAUCCAUUGAAAGUUUGAAGCACAACUUAUUAUGAAAUAAACAGAAAGAUUUGGGGGAAAAAAAUGACAUUUGCUCUUUUCAAAUGUGUGUAAGAGUCUUUUUUCUGCAUGUGGCUUUUACAACCAGUUAGAGUCUCUGUAUUUGACUCCACAGUACAACAGUACAUACGCAUUCGUUUUUGUAAAGCACAUUAUGACUGGAAUUAUUAAAUCUAUUUAGUGUGUUACGAAACCGUUCUUUAAACCGUUCUAAAAACAUUUCUUGACAAAAUAUGGAAAAAGAAAUGCAACACUGAAACACAAAACAGUGAUAAUAAUGAAUAUGGAGAGAAUUAUUCUCAUAUCAGGUGAGGUGGCAAAUUGUCUGCACAUAACGACUACACAGCUCUGUAUGCUUCCAUAAAAAUCAGUUUGAUCAGUUGUUGAUUGCGCUGUAAGUUUCUUGUCAUCCAUAACUUUUUUUUUUUUUGUUCUUGUUGCAUUGUUACUUUGUGAUUUUUUUUUUUUCAUUCCCGAAGGGUCCGAGCAACACCAUGAUGCCAGCUGGAAAUCCUGCAGAUAAUUGUGACACAUGUCCAUAAGCGUAGGUGUAAAUCCCUUCAUGGUAAAUAAGCUAAAUAUUCAGUAUAGGUAGUAUAUUAAUAUCGCUGGCCAAACACGGCAUUGUAUAAUUACAUGCUUAAAUGAUGUAUAUAAAUAAUAAAUAUAAAACAAUUUUUUUUAAAAAUGGCAUAUAAACAAUAAGGAUGAAAAGAUGACAGACAAUUAAAGUCAGACUUUUUUUUUUCAGGAAACAUUUAAUUUAUUUUUUUUAUAGUUGAAUAGCCACAACAACAACAACAACAAAAAAGCUCUAACUGAAGCUUUUUCUUAAUUUAUAUUACAUUUAUGAAAACAAAAAUCAAAACGGUCCAUUUUCAGCUUCCUGGUUCUUAUAGUGGAGCUUUACAAGACACAAGCUGGUUCAUAGGAAGAUAUCUACUAAAUGCUCUCAAUGCAAAAAAAAAAACCCAAAAAAACAAACAGUUACUGUUAAUACACUUACCUAACAAUACUGGAGUGCAAAAUAAGUGUUUGAUCAUGACAAAGAGCUUAUCACUUUUCUACUGAAACCAGUUUUGGCAAAAAAAAUUUAUAAUGUUGAACAGGCCUUGUCUUUUUUCUUCGUCAUUGUACUCACCCCCACAGACUACAUCCACUCAAACAUAUUCUCUUUUAUUGCACAGUAGUGGUUGAUUUUUCAAAAACUUGAAAGCAUUUUUUUUUAUUAUUGUUUAGUUAGUUAUUUAUUUUUAAAGAAUGUUCACUAAACCCUCACUACAAUACAUAUUGUCACUGUUUAAAAGAAUAUAAACAGGUCCCUUCCUCUCACGUCCAUUUCUAUGCCUAAGGCAUUGGAAAAAUGACUGACCUUCUGGAGAGUCUCAGUGAACAUUGUGAACAUUAGCCAGCGUUGUGUAGAUGAAUAUAAGAGUGCUGUGGUUUGGGAGACUGGGAAUGAAGGACUAGACAGGGCUGGCAAGAAAAAAGAUGGAGUGAAGUGAAUUAGCAUUUUCUUAUUAGGCAGCUUCAUUUUUAGUUGACUGACUCGUAUUGCAAGCUUUGCAGUGUCCUGGACCCUUUUGGCUCCACCCUCCACUCCUUGACCUUGGAUAAGUGCCAUAAACUGUUGUUUUCCACUUGUGUCGAAGUAGUGGCAAGGGUAUGCGGUACUUCUGAAACCUUCACUACUUGUCUACCCUGCCCUUUGUCAUCGUCGCACCCCCCCCCCCCACCCCACCCAACCCAGAUGCUUUGGCUAGAAACACAACCUGCUUUUGCAUAAGGCACUGAGGCUGUGGCUCUGCUACCCCAUCACUGCUGUAUGAUAUCUCCUCUGGAAUUCUGCGCAUGCCAAGCAUUCGGUUACUCAGACAGAUGGUGGAAACAUCUUAAAGACACCUCUGAUAUCUGUUCAUCUAGAGAAAUGCAUCUAAACAUGUAUGGUUCAUGGAAAAAUUUUCAUGGAUAAAUAUACACAUUUAAUUUCAUAUUAUUAGCAAUUAUUGUUUUGCUUUGUUUUUACCUAAAGGUGUACUGGAAGCUCUAUUUCAGUAUAGGACCAUUUGCAUCCAAAAGGGUUUUAACGAGUUGAAAAGUACAAAUAAACCGUUUAAAAAAAAAAAA